rnacentral:rRNA from 3 species
GAAGGUGGCCUGUGAGGGUUGCUGGAGGUAUCAGAAGUGCGAAUGCUGACAUAAGUAACGAUAAAGCGGGUGAAAAGCCCGCUCGCCGGAAGACCAAGGGUUCCUGUCCAACGUUAAUCGGGGCAGGGUGAGUCGACCCCUAAGGCGAGGCCGAAAGGCGUAGUCGAUGGGAAACGGGUUAAUAUUCCCGUACUUGGUGUUACUGCGAAGGGGGGACGGAGAAGGCUAUGUUGGCCGGGCGACGGUUGUCCCGGUUUAAGCGUGUAGGUGUGUGUUCCAGGUAAAUCCGGUUCACUUUAACACUGAGGCGUGACGACGAGGCACUACGGUGCUGAAGCAACAAAUGCCCUGCUUCCAGGAAAAGCCUCUAAGCAUCAGGUAACAUCAAAUCGUACCCCAAACCGACACAGGUGGUCAGGUAGAGAAUACCAAGGCGCUUGAGAGAACUCGGGUGAAGGAACUAGGCAAAAUGGUGCCGUAACUUCGGGAGAAGGCACGCUGACAUGUAGGUGAAGUGAUUUACUCAUGGAGCUGAAGUCAGUCGAAGAUACCAGCUGGCUGCAACUGUUUAUUAAAAACACAGCACUGUGCAAACACGAAAGUGGACGUAUACGGUGUGACGCCUGCCCGGUGCCGGAAGGUUAAUUGAUGGGGUCAGCGCAAGCGAAGCUCCUGAUCGAAGCCCCGGUAAACGGCGGCCGUAACUAUAACGGUCCUAAGGUAGCGAAAUUCCUUGUCGGGUAAGUUCCGACCUGCACGAAUGGCGUAAUGAUGGCCAGGCUGUCUCCACCCGAGACUCAGUGAAAUUGAACUCGCUGUGAAGAUGCAGUGUACCCGCGGCAAGACGGAAAGACCCCGUGAACCUUUACUAUAGCUUGACACUGAACAUUGAGCCUUGAUGUGUAGGAUAGGUGGGAGGCUUUGAAGUGUGGACGCCAGUCUGCAUGGAGCCGACCUUGAAAUACCACCCUUUAAUGUUUGAUGUUCUAACGUGGACCCGUUAUCCGGGUUGCGGACAGUGUCUGGUGGGUAGUUUGACUGGGGCGGUCUCCUCCUAAAGAGUAACGGAGGAGCACGAAGGUUGGCUAAUCCUGGUCGGACAUCAGGAGGUUAGUGCAAUGGCAUAAGCCAGCUUGACUGCGAGCGUGACGGCGCGAGCAGGUGCGAAAGCAGGUCAUAGUGAUCCGGUGGUUCUGAAUGGAAGGGCCAUCGCUCAACGGAUAAAAGGUACUCCGGGGAUAACAGGCUGAUACCGCCCAAGAGUUCAUAUCGACGGCGGUGUUUGGCACCUCGAUGUCGGCUCAUCACAUCCUGGGGCUGAAGUAGGUCCCAAGGGUAUGGCUGUUCGCCAUUUAAAGUGGUACGCGAGCUGGGUUUAGAACGUCGUGAGACAGUUCGGUCCCUAUCUGCCGUGGGCGCUGGAGAACUGAGGGGGGCUGCUCCUAGUACGAGAGGACCGGAGUGGACGCAUCACUGGUGUUCGGGUUGUCAUGCCAAUGGCACUGCCCGGUAGCUAAAUGCGGAAGAGAUAAGUGCUGAAAGCAUCUAAGCACGAAACUUGCCCCGAGAUGAGUUCUCCCUGAGACUUAGAGUCUCCUGAAGGAACGUUGAAGACGACGACGUUGAUAGGCCGGGUGUGUAAGCGCAGCGAUGCGUUGAGCUAACCGGUACUAAUGAACCGUGAGGCUUAACCUUACAACGCCGAAG